rnacentral:rRNA from 1 species
UGGGGAAUUUUGGACAAUGGGCGAAAGCCUGAUCCAGCAAUGCCGCGUGUGUGAAGAAGGCCUUCGGGUUGUAAAGCACUUUUGUCCGGAAAGAAAUCCUUGGCUCUAAUACAGUCGGGGGAUGACGGUACCGGAAGAAUAAGCACCGGCUAACUACGUGCCAGCAGCCGCGGUAAUACGUAGGGUGCAGCGUAAUCGGAAUUACUGGGCGUAAAGCGUGCGCAGGCGGUUUGCUAAGACCGAUGUGAAAUCCCCGGGCUCAAACCUGGGAACUGCAUUGGUGACUGGCAGGCUAGAGUAUGGCAGAGGGGGGUAGAAUUCCACGUGUAGCAGUGAAAUGCGUAGAGAUGUGGAGGAAUACCGAUGGCGAAGGCAGCCCCCUGGGCCAAAUACUGACGCUCAUGCACGAAAAGCGUGGGGAGCAAAACAGGAUUAGAUACCCUGGUAGUCCACGCCCUAAAACGAUGUCAACUAGUUGUUGGGGAUUCAUUUCCUUAGUAACGUAGCUAACGCGUGAAGUUGACCGCCUGGGGAGUACGGUCGCAAGAUUAAAAACUCAAAUGAAUUGACGGGGUCAUAGCUGUUUCCU